rnacentral:snoRNA from 1 species
CCCCUCUCAGGGUCGCACCUGGAGAGUUUCCAGUACGCUACCAGUCUUGGCUACUGGAGGGAGAGUCAAGCAGAAGUCUACCCAUUCCAUUCCUAGCUUGGCUAGCUAGUGGAAGGCAAUCUGCUACAAAA